rnacentral:snRNA from 1 species
GGGACUAGAUACCACGAUCACAAAGAUAGUUUUCCCAGGAUGAGGCUCAUCCAUUGCAUUCUGAGUGUGCUGACCCUUCUGAUUUCCCCAAAUGGGGGAAACUUAA